GAUGAACGCUGGCGGCGUGCCUAAUACAUGCAAGUCGAGCGAACGGACGAGAAGCUUGCUUCUCUGUUGUUAGCGGCGGACGGGUGAGUAACACGUGGAUAACCUACCUAUAAGACUGGGAUAACUUCGGGAAACCGGAGCUAAUACCGGAUAAUAUUUUGAACCGCAUGGUUCAAAAGUGAAAGACGGUCUUGCUGUCUCUUAUAGAUGGAUCCGCGCUGCAUUAGCUAGUUGGUAAGGUAACGGCUUACCAAGGCAACGAUGCAUAGCCGACCUGAGAGGGUGGUCGGACACACGGGAACUGAGACACGGUCCAGACUCCUACGGGAGGCAGCAGUAGGGAAUCUUCCGCAAUGGGCGAAAGCCUGACGGAGCAACACCGCGUGAGUGAUGAAGGUCUUCGGAUCGUAAAACUCUGUUAUUAGGGAAGAACAUAUGUGUAAGUAACUGUGCACAUCUUGACGGUACCUAAUCAGAAAGCCACGGCUAACUACGUG
rnacentral:rRNA from 1 species